UACGUAGGCAGCGAGCGUUGUUCGGAGUUACUGGGCGUAAAGGGUGUGUAGGCGGUUUUCUAAGUUUGGUGUGAAAUCUCCCGGCUCAACCGGGAGGGUGCGCCGAAAACUGGGAGACUAGAGUGCGGGAUGGGAGAGUAGAAUUCCUGGUGUAGCGGUGAAAUGCGUAGAUAUCUGGAGGAACACCGGUGGCGAAGGCGGCAUCCUGGACCGAUAUUGACGCUGAGGAGCGAAAGCCAGGGGAGCAAACGGG
rnacentral:rRNA from 1 species